rnacentral:rRNA from 1 species
AGCAGCGGCAACAAUGGCGGCAGGAACGGGGGGCUGGAGCUCAACCUGAACCAAUCGCCUCCGCCGCCCCUGGCCGCAGCGGAGAGGAUGGAGGUGGACGGCGGUCAUGAUGAAGACGACGAUGACUACAGCAACGGCUCGUCGUCGCCUAGCUCGUGUGUGUCGUCGGAUGAUAGCCAUGGCGGCUGGGAGCCGUCGCCUAUGGCGAUCGGAGCGUGCGAGCGGUGCCUCUUGUACUGCAUGGUGACCAAGGAGGAGUACCCCGUCUGCAUCAACUGCAAGCAGCCCUUCCUUGUGGACGUCCUCCCUGCCGGCGACGACAAGAAGCGUGGCCAGCGCCAGUAA